rnacentral:rRNA from 1 species
AGAGUUGAUCCUGGCUCAGAACGAACGCUGGCGGCAGGCUUAACACAUGCAAGUCGAGCGCCGUAGCAAUACGGAGCGGCAGACGGGUGAGUAACGCGUGGGAACAUACCCUCCGGUUCGGAAUAACUCAGGGAAACUUGAGCUAAUACCGGAUACGGUCGGGAGGCGAAAGAUUUAUCGCCGGAGGAUUGGCCCGCGUCCGAUUAGCUAGUUGGUGUGGUAACGGCGCACCAAGGCGACGAUCGGUAGCUGGUCUGAGAGGAUGAUCAGCCACAUUGGGACUGAGACACGGCCCAAACUCCUACGGGAGGCAGCAGUGGGGAAUAUUGGACAAUGGGCGCAAGCCUGAUCCAGCCAUGCCGCGUGAGUGAUGACGGCCUUAGGGUUGUAAAGCUCUUUCGCACGGGACGAUAAUGACGGUAGCGUGAGAAGAAGCCCCGGCUAACUUCGUGCCAGCAGCCGCGGUAAUACGAAGGGGGCUAGCGUUGUUCGGAAUUACUGGGCGUAAAGCGCGUGUAGGCGGGCUUUUA